rnacentral:rRNA from 1 species
UGGGGAAUAUUGCACAAUGGGCGCAAGCCUGAUGCAGCCAUGCCGCGUGUAUGAAGAAGGCCUUCUGGUUGUAAAGUACUUUCAGCGAGGAGGAAGGCGUUGUGGUUAAUAACCGCAACGAUUGACGUUACUCGCAGAAGAAGCACCGGCUAACUCCGUGCCAGCAGCCGCGGUAAUACGGAGGGUGCAAGCGUUAAUCGGAAUUACUGGGCGUAAAGCGCACGCAGGCGGUCUGUCAAGUCGGAUGUGAAAUCCCCGGGCUCAACCUGGGAACUGCAUCCGAAACUGGCAGGCUAGAGUCUUGUAGAGGGGGGUAGAAUUCCAGGUGUAGCGGUGAAAUGCGUAGAGAUCUGGAGGAAUACCGGUGGCGAAGGCGGCCCCCUGGACAAAGACUGACGCUCAGGUGCGAAAGCGUGGGGAGCAAACA